rnacentral:misc_RNA from 1 species
AACGGUCUAUACCUGCGGUACCUGCGGAAGGAUCAUUACAUGAUUUGAGGGGGCUCACGUCCCCUCAUCCAACCCACAAACCCCGAGGAACUUUUAUGUCGAGUGGUUCGGCGCUCUCUUUGAGAGCCGCCCCUCAAACGCAUCGCAGGCUUUUCGUGAAGGUCUGAUGUGUCACAUCGUGAGUAUUAAAACUUUCAGCAACGGAUCUCU